rnacentral:rRNA from 1 species
GACGAACGCUGGCGGCGUGCCUAAUACAUGCAAGUAGAACGCUGAAGAGAGGAGCUUGCUCUUCUUGGAUGAGUUGCGAACGGGUGAGUAACGCGUAGGUAACCUGCCUGGUAGCGGGGGAUAACUAUUGGAAACGAUAGCUAAUACCGCAUAAAAUUGAUUAUUGCAUGAUAAUUAAUUGAAAGAUGCAACUGCAUCACUACCAGAUGGACCUGCGUUGUAUUAGCUAGUUGGUGAGGUAACGGCUCACCAAGGCGACGAUACAUAGCCGACCUGAGAGGGUGAUCGGCCACACUGGGACUGAGACACGGCCCAGACUCCUACGGGAGGCAGCAGUAGGGAAUCUUCGGCAAUGGGGGGAACCCUGACCGAGCAACGCCGCGUGAGUGAAGAAGGUUUUCGGAUCGUAAAGCUCUGUUGUAAGAGAAGAACGGGUGUGAGAGUGGAAAGUUCACACCGUGACGGUAUCUUACCAGAAAGGGACGGCUAACUACGUG